rnacentral:rRNA from 1 species
CCUACGGGAGGCAGCAGUGAGGAAUAUUGGUCAAUGGACGAGAGUCUGAACCAGCCAAGUAGCGUGAAGGAUGACUGCCCUAUGGGUUGUAAACUUCUUUUAUAUGGGAAUAAAACGUUCCACGUGUGGGAUUUUGUAUGUACCAUAUGAAUAAGGAUCGGCUAACUCCGUGCCAGCAGCCGCGGUAAUACGGAGGAUCCGAGCGUUAUCUGGAUUUAUUGGGUUUAAAGGGAGCGUAGGUGGAUUGUUAAGUCAGUUGUGAAAGUUUGCGGCUCAACCGUAAAAUUGCAGUUGAAACUGGCAGUCUUGAGUACAGUAGAGGUGGGCGGAAUUCGUGGUGUAGCGGUGAAAUGCUUAGAUAUCACGAAGAACUCCGAUUGCGAAGGCAGUUCACUGGACUGCAACUGACACUGAGGCUCGAAAGUGUGGGUAUCAAACAGGAUUAGAUACCCUAGUAGUC